CAGAGGGUGCGAGCGUUAAUCGGAAUUACUGGGCGUAAAGCGCGCGUAGGCGGCUUUGCAAGUCGAGUGUGAAAUCCCCAGGCUUAACCUGGGAACUGCUCUCGAGACUGCAUAGCUAGAGUAUGGGAGAGGGAAGUGGAAUUUCAGGUGUAGCGGUGAAAUGCGUAGAUAUCUGAAGGAACAUCAGUGGCGAAAGCGACUUCCUGGACCAAUACUGACGCUCAUGUGCGAAAGCGUGGGGAGCAAACAGGAUUAGAUACCCUGGUAGUCCACGCCAUAAACGAUGACAACUGGAUGUCGGGAGGGUCUGCCUCUCGGUGUCGUAGCUAACGCGUUAAGUUGUCCGCCUGGGGAGUACGGCCGCAAGGUUG
rnacentral:rRNA from 1 species